AUUGAACGCUGGCGGCAUGCUUUACACAUGCAAGUCGAACGGUAACAGGCCGCAAGGUGCUGACGAGUGGCGAACGGGUGAGUAAUGCAUCGGAACGUGCCCAGUCGUGGGGGAUAACGCAGCGAAAGCUGCGCUAAUACCGCAUACGAUCUAUGGAUGAAAGCGGGGGACCGUAAGGCCUCGCGCGAUUGGAGCGGCCGAUGUCAGAUUAGGUAGUUGGUGGGGUAAAGGCUCACCAAGCCGACGAUCUGUAGCUGGUCUGAGAGGACGACCAGCCACACUGGGACUGAGACACGGCCCAGACUCCUACGGGAGGCAGCAGUGGGGAAUUUUGGACAAUGGGCGCAAGCCUGAUCCAGCAAUGCCGCGUGCAGGAAGAAGGCCUUCGGGUUGUAAACUGCUUUUGUACAGAACGAAACGGUCCUGGUUAAUACCCGGGGCUAAUGACGGUACCGUAAGAAUAAGCACCGGCUAACUACGUGCCAGCCGCCGCCGUAA
rnacentral:rRNA from 1 species